rnacentral:lncRNA from 1 species
GGGCCUCGGCUGCACACUCUGGGGCACCAGGCAGCCCCACACCCCUAUCAUCUCAGUGGCCACGCAGCGUUGAACAUAUUCUGACAUACGGAAUUUUGCUUUGUAAGCUGCUUUGUCUUUCUGGGAACGUGUCCUCUAAGCUCACCUUUACACAGAUCUGCAGCUUGUCUUAUGUAGAUCAGCACAGAAUGUUACAAAAGAGAACGGAUACAUAGAGCAGACCCUGGGCUCAGACCCAGGCUCCAAACCUCCUGGGCCAACCACUCCACUUCCCCAGGUCCUUGCGCCCCCGUCUGCAAAAUGGAGCACUAGCAGUUUCCAUGAUAUUGGACGUUUGGCAAGGAUUAUGGAGGGGAGCCGUGUGAAGGUCAAAGGCUGGCAGGUAACAAAUGCUUAAUAAAUGUGACUAUUCUUAUUUUUAUUCCUCCAUGCAUCCCUUUAGUAGACAAGUAUCUACUGAGCCCCUGCCCUGAGCAGGAGAGACAGGAAGCAGGAAGGUUAAUAGCAGUGUUAGGAGCUGGACUCCUGGGUUUGAAUCCCACCCAGCUUUGCCAUUUAUGAGCUGGCUGACCUUGAGCAAGGGGCUUACACUCUCUAGCCUCGGUUUCCUUAUCUGUAAAAAGGGAUAACAACCAUAUCAACCCAUGCAGAUAAGAGUGAGCAUAGCAGGCCUGUGGCUGCUGCCCUGAGAAAGUCCUGCCCGCAGGGCUGGCCCCUAGCUGGCAUCUGGGAGCUGAAAUGUCCCCUACAUGGAGAGGCCGGGACACCCAGCCCUGCGGCAGCAGCUCCCAUGGCGUGUUGAGCCAACACUGUGGUGUAUGCAAGCAAAACCCCAGCUUUCCUUCCAGAAGUCGGGAAUUGUGGCACGUGCCAGGCUGAGGGUGCCUACGUGACAGGAUUCCCAAGGGAGAAAUAUUUCACACAUGUGGCUGCAUUUUUUCCUAGUGGGUGGGGAAUGUGCUGUGUCCCCUCAAGGAGAGAGGGAGGGGGCUUCAGUCUGCUCAUGGAUGCCUGCAGACUCCGCCUAAGCUGUGGCACUGUUAUAAACCUUAGACAACAGGAUGACUCUAUAUCGAGUCCUGCGAGUCCUUCCAGAGGACCCCAGAAUGUGUGGGUGGGGUCCCCCGACACACCAUCCCAUAGGCCUGCAUGAAUGUCCCAGGGUUGCUACAACAAAUGACCCCAGACCAGGAGGCCUGGACAACAGAUGUUCAUUCUCUCAGUUCUGGAGGCUGCUCACUGAGCGGCUUUACGUUCCUGCUUCACCUUUUGACAUACAGAGCCUGACUGUAAUGCCUUUAAAUGUGAAGCCUCCACCCCAGGUGAACAUGGGACGCAUGUAACACGCAUGUGUGCUCAGUGCACAUGUCAGGACCUGCUUUGUGAAUAUUCACAGCUCCUCCUGUAACCUGCUGAGUAUGCUUAACCUGCCAUAACCUUAGCCAAUGCAUUCAGCAUAAAGCCCCGUUCCACCCUCACCUCCUCGAAGCGCCUGCCUCUGGUUUUGGCUAGAGGCCCAAUUCCCAGCUCACAGGUUGUAACCCUUUAUAAUAGUCUCCCUUCUAAAUUUAUAAAUCGUGCAAUUCUUGGGCUGACAUGUGACUUUCUGCUCCCCACGUUUGUUCCUCCUCUCUUCUAAGGUCACCUGCCAUUGGAUUUGGAGGCCAUCGUAAUCUAAGAUCUCAUCUCAAGAUCCUUAACUACAUUUGCAAAGAUGCUUUUAUUUUCCAAAUAAGGUCUGACUCAUAGCACCUGGAAGUUAGGACGCAUACUGGUCAUGGGUGGGGCCAGC